AUAAUCUGUCUCUGGGUUGUGUCCGCAGAAAUUACCCCUGAUAAUGAAGUGGUAGCAGCAAAGCCCCGGAGAGUCCAGCAGAUUCUGUGAGGCUGCCUGAGCUUUGGGAUCUUGCUCAUAAUUCAGGGAAAGGCUUCUACGUAUCCCCAGUGCACUGGGAGAGCAUCUAUCCCAUGCUUGCUGCUUAGUGGGCACUCAAGAGAAGCUCUGGAGCAAGUGAACGCCACUUGAAGGUUUGUGGGAAGCAUUUAUGGCUCCUAGCCUCUGGUUGGCCCCGUGGAGAUCGCUCCAAUCCUACCUUCACUUCUGG
rnacentral:lncRNA from 1 species